CUAAUUUGCCUCCUAUUUGAUGAUAAUGCCAACUAUUGACUAAGGCAAAAUCCCUCAGCUUGCCAACCAAAAAAAAAUCACUUAUUCAGAAAAUGGCUCAUAUAGGAAAGAAGCAGCUGCUUUUGCAAUUGACACAAAUGAGCCAAAAUUUGUUUCUCUAGAAAAAAAAAUUCAUUCCGGUGAUUCAUUUAGCUUCACUGGUGAGGUUUUGGUGAAGUCAAGAGAAGUGGAAAAUGAAGGAUAAAGGAAUACCAAGAAGGCUGUAAACCUGCAUGACGAAUUCCAGCCCAGAGCAACAUUUUUAUGAUCCAGUGUCAAGUUCUUGAAAAAUGAAAAAUGAGAGGAAAGAGAGAUUUAACUGUAAUGUGGAUACAUUUUGGACUGGAUGUUACCAAUUGAAUAAGACAUUGUCACCAAGUUAAAUUGAAAGUUGACGUAUGUCAACUCAAAACAGAUGAGAAACGGCAGGGUGCUUUAUGGAUUGAGAGCCAAGAAGAAUCCACUUCUGAUGGAUACGAGAAGAUAAAAGGAAUUCAAAUAAUGUGUAUCUGGGAAACUUGCUGUAAAAUACCAGAUGUAAUAGUGGUUAUGGAAAUCACCAAAGAGUAGAACAUAGAACCAACCCAUGGAAUUGGAAAGAUGCAGUAAACGCAUUUGCAAAGGUAAAUUUUCUAAUGUGGGUCAUAAGUAUUAAAUAUAUGAAAUGAAUAGUAGGUGCUGUUGGAACUUAGAAAAAGAGGUAUAAUUUCUAGAAGGAAUGAGCUUUGCACUGUUUCCUGAAGGAUGGAUCUGAUUUGAAUAGGUCAAGGAGAUAGGUGGUGCCAUAAGGGAGCCUGAUUAGCGAUGCCUCUUUCAAUUCCCAAGCACAGAAGCCCAAUAUAAACUGACUCAUGCAGGAGGAGUGGUCCUGGGGCUUCCAUGUGGCUGGAGUCACAGGGUCCUAUAAUUUGAAUUGGUUUCUCUCCCUCUCUUGGCUCUGCUUUCCUCUGCAUUGACUUUUGUCUCAGACUCCUGACUCCACCUGGUAGCUGCCA
rnacentral:lncRNA from 1 species